rnacentral:lncRNA from 1 species
GUCUGACACGAGCCGCGGCGGCGUGGUCUCUCGCCUCUCGCUGCUCGACGGCCGGGCUCGCCGUCUUACGGCGGCGCCAUCGCCGUCUUCUCGCGAGUCGAGGCGAGAGGCCGCCCCCGUGGCCGUGGCCCUUCACGCAUAGAGGCAAGGGCAACUCGUCCUCUUCCACGUCGCUCCGCGAGGCCUCCGCCGUCUUCCGGUCCGGUCCCACGAGUCCGCGCUGUGCCCUAGCCCUACCGAAGAAAGGGAUCGAGAUUUCAGCUGAACAUGAUAUUGGCAUAAGCCUGCUUAAUUACCUUCUGCCAAGGGCUGUCUAGCCUUGCAUUGGACAACACAUGGAGCCCUGGUGAGACAAGUUGGAUCGUUGCAGGCUGCCCCUUUGGCCGAUUUGACACAUAAACCAUGACGUUUGUGGUCAGAUCAGCCAGUACAAGGUUGAAGCCGUUGUACUCGUCAGCUUCUUUUGCCACCUCAGUUGCAACUUCAAGUGGGCUCUUGUUGCUCUGCACAGGAACCUGAGGGGGAGAUCUCCCCUUGUGCGCGCCCCCGGCAUGGCGUCCGGCUCGAGCACAUUGGUGAGGAAGGCGAGCCUGCCAUCCUUUGUGCAACCCAUCCAUGUCCCUCCACCAAGAACAUCUCUACCACCAAGAAUCUUCUUCGAGCCCUCCCCCCACCAUCCUACUGCCUUGGUUGGCCUGCACCAAUUCGUCAGAGCUAAAUCAGCACACUCAAUUCACCAAGAACAGCAUCGUCAGAGUGCAACAUGGAUGAUCAAGCAGAGGAGGAGGCCGGAAGGAAAGGGGGAUCAAGCAGAGGAGGAGCCCACAGUGAGCCUUACACGCUUACAUUAUUGCCUCCAAGCAGGUAGUACUCUGCAUGCAACCGUUCAUUAUUCAGAGUUUCCAUCCUGUGUUCAGUUACCAGGUUUUAUAUUACCUUUGCAUAUACUACCUCCGUUUUUAAUAGAUGACGCCGUUGACUUUUCCUCACAUGUUUGACCAUUCGUCU